rnacentral:rRNA from 1 species
GUUAGGAAUAUUGGACAAUGGGCGCAAGCCUGAUCCAGCCAUGCCGCGUGAGUGAUGAAGGCCUUCGGGUUGUAAAGCUCUUUAGUCCACGAAUAUAAUGACUGUAGUGGAAGAAUAAGCCCCGGCUAACUUCGUGCCAGCAGCCGCGGUAAUACGAAGGGGGCGAGCGUUAUUCGGAAUCACUGGGCGUAAAGCGUGCGUAGGCUGUUUUGUAAGUCAGAAGUGAAAGCCCAGGGCUUAACCCCGGAAUUGCUUUUGAAACUACAAGACUCGAAUUCGGGAGAGGAUAGCGGAAUUGUCAGUGUAGCAGUGAAAUGCGUAGAUAUUGACAGGAACACCAGUGGCGCAAGCGGCUAUCUGGACCGAUAUUGACGCUGAGGCACGAAAGCGUGGGGAGCAAACAGGAUUAGAUACCCUGGUAGUCC